rnacentral:rRNA from 1 species
GAUGAACGCUGGCGGCGUGCCUAAUACAUGCAAGUCGAGCAAACAGAUGAGGAGCUUGCUCCUCUGACGUUAGCGGCGGACGGGUGAGUAACACGUGGAUAACCUACCUAUAAGACUGGGAUAACUUCGGGAAACCGGAGCUAAUACCGGAUAAUAUAUUGAACCGCAUGGUUCAAUAGUGAAAGACGGUUUUGCUGUCACUUAUAGCUGGAUCCGCGCCGCAUUAGCUAGUUGGUAAGGUAACGGCUUACCAAGGCAACGAUGCGUAGCCGACCUGAGAGGGUGAUCGGCCACACUGGAACUGAGACACGGUCCAGACUCCUACGGGAGGCAGCAGUAGGGAAUCUUCCGCAAUGGGCGAAAGCCUGACGGAGCAACGCCGCGUGAGUGAUGAAGGUCUUCGGAUCGUAAAACUCUGUUAUUAGGGAAGAACAAAUGUGUAAGUAACUAUGCACGUCUUGACGGUACCUAAUCAGAAAGCCACGGCUAACUACGUG